rnacentral:rRNA from 1 species
GAUGAACGCUGGCGGCGUGCCUAAUACAUGCAAGUCGAGCGAACGGACGAGAAGCUUGCUUCUCUAAUGUUAGCGGCGGACGGGUGAGUAACACGUGGAUAACCUACCUAUAAGACUGGGAUAACUUCGGGAAACCGUAGCUAAUACCGGAUAAUAUUUUGAACCGCAUGGUUCAAAAGUGAAAGACGGUCUUGCUGUCACUUAUAGAUGGAUCCGCGCUGCAUUAGCUAGUUGGUAAGGUAACGGCUUACCAAGGCAACGAUGCAUAGCCGACCUGAGAGGGUGAUCGGCCACACCGGAACUGAGACACGGUCCAGACUCCUACGGGAGGCAGCAGUAGGGAAUCUUCCGCAAUGGGCGAAAGCCUGACGGAGCAACGACGCGUGAGUGAUGAAGGUCUUCGGAUCGUAAAACUCUGUUAUUAGGGAAGAACAUAUGUGUAAGUAACUGUGCACAUCUUGACGGUACCUAAGCAGAAAGCCACGGCUAACUACGU